rnacentral:lncRNA from 1 species
CUGGAGUGCAGUGGCACAAUCACAGCUCACUGCAGCCUUGACCUCCUAAGAACAAGUGAUCCUCCCACCUCAGCCUCUCGGGACCACAGCUGAGCACCACCAGCUGGGACCACAGCUGGGCACCACCACACCCUGCUAAUUCUUCAUUUUUUUUGUAGAGAUGGAGUUUCCCUAUGUUGUCCAGGCUGCUCUCAAACUCCUGGGCUCAAGCCAUCCUCCCGCCGUGGCCUCCCAAAGUGCUGGGACCACAGGCACGAGCCACCACAACCCACUCAGUGUCGUCUCUGGACCCCUCUUUCUCCAUCAUGGUCCAAUCCAGUCACCAAGACUUGUCGGUUCUCUUAAUCUCUUGAAUCCCUCCUGCUCUCCUGCUCUCCAGCCCCACCAGCACCUCGGAGGCCGGCCUUUCUCUUCUCAUCUGGGUUACUUCUGGAGCCUCCUCUGGAAUAAGGGGAAAAUAGUGAAACUCUAGAGAAGGGCGCUCUUUGCAGACCUGGAAAGGUUCUUCCUUGCAAAUGAACGGCAUGGAGUUACCUCAAAACCAGGGAGAGGGAAAACCAAUGUACGUGACAUGGAAACCAGGGUAAAAAAACUGCCUCAAACCUACCAACAAGUGAAAGGAAAAAUCUACAAAACUCAAAAGCCCGUCUUGGUCAUUCUACACAAUCUUUAUUCUGUGAGAGAAAGCAGUGGCCCCCACUCAGGAUAUCAAAGACUGAGGUCCCACGUUAUCUCCAGGUUUUACUCAAAGAACUCUGCAUAUUUGGGUAUUAUUUUUAUCUCUCCCUUUCGUUUAUUGUCUCAGGGUAAACACUUGUGAUUCAUAAAUGCCUUAAGAGUGAAUCAGUAUUCUCCUGUUCAAACCAAUAGAGGCCACAUCAAACAAUAACCUACAAGGUAUUAUUAAUCAUUAAAUAGGCAUAUAUAUGAGCACUCAGGCAAGGGAGCCAUUUUUCUUCUCUUGUUUGUUUGUUUGAAGGAAAUUAACAAAGUACAAACCUUGAUUUUGACCUAUUCAGAAAAAAAGCAUUUUUUUAACCAUUAAAAACUUAGUUAAAUUCAAGGCUAAAAGGGCAAAUAUUUCACGUGGGAAAGUGCUCCUUCGUUCAGGAGACUUCCUUCAGCCAUUAAACUAUGGUCUGGACUUCAAACUGUAGUAGUUACUUUUUCCAUAAGCACACACCAUCAAAAAAUGAACAUUCUCAACCAUGGCUGGUAGAAGCAAGAGUCCAUUGUAGAAUUUCUAUGCCGCGGCCACACCUGGGUGCAAACUGACAGGUGGGCAAGCCCAGAGCACAUCUGCUCUACGGAAGAAGAAGAAACCAAGUCAUGUCAAAUACACUGUAAGCACAGGCGUCACGGGACCUCCCUCUCCUUCUCCCUGCCCCUAUACACACUAAGGGAGGUCCUCUAGCCUCAAAAAUGGGGGUUCCUCCCUCUAAGGAUGGUAGAUCAAUGGUAUCACCCCUCACAGAUAUGGAGGUGCUAAAACAUGAAUGAUUUUUCAAUAAUAUUUCUUCUCCCUGUCCCUCAGGAAGCAUCUCUGCUCACACCACGACUGAAUGGACACGUGAAUCUAGCACAUACAGUCGGAGGCCCGCAGAACCGGGAUGGUCAUGUAUCCCAGCCUAUGCCAGUUGUCCCAGCAUCAGUGUUACUAGCAUUAUCUUCCACUCUCAAAAGUGUUCCAGUUUGAACCCUAAAUGAUAUGGUCACCUCCACAGAACUGGAGCAGGGAGGGUCUUGGGUGUUCAUCUUUCCCACCAAUCUUAUCUCCUACAAGUGAGAUGGGUGUCCAGGGAGGAUCUGCCCAGGUUUAUGCUUUUGAUUUCCCCCUCCCUCUGCAGCCCUUCCCAUGCCCUCCUGUCUCCGUGAGGGAGGGAGGACCACCCGCGCAUCCUGCACGCCAGGCCCAUAUUGACGCCUGAUGCUUUUGCCUCCAUUCAGAUCUCGUCUUUCUGUGAACCUGAGGCUCAUUUCAAUUUUUCAAGGCAGGACCACAACAAGCUCUGCAUCUGCCUGCACACAAAGCCGAAAUCACAGUGCUUGGGUGGUGGGGACCCUUUUCCCUGAAAAAGAAGAAGUCAGAUCAUUUCUUAAGGUCUCUCCCAGCCUUAGAACCUGUGAUUCAUAAGAAACUGGCUGAAGCUUUUGGUUUGUCAAUAUACUCAUGAACCAAUUUACCAGAGUGGUUGCCAUCCAUUUCUUUGAAAAAAUUAGCACCUUGUGAAUUUUCAUUAGAUGAAUGAGAGUACCUAUCUUACAUAUCAGAGAUGUUUAUUAUAUAGUAAUAAUAAAGGUAGCUAAGAACUUACAUUGUAUUUACAAAAUGCCAGGCACUGUACUAAGCACAUUACAUAUAUUGGUCCUUAUAACAAUCCUAUAAGGUAGGUACAAUGAAUACCUCCCCAUUGAACAGGUAGGUAAAUCAAGGUACAGAAUUGUUAUGUCACGCAGCUAGAAUGCAAGCAAGUGGAACAUGAACUCAGGCAGUCUGGCUCCGGAGUUGGCCUUUUCACCACCCUGCUAUCCAGUUUCUCCAAAUAUCUAUGUAAAUAUAUGUUCAGCAUUCCUAACCGAAAUAAUCAGCAGGCCAGUCAAAUCUCAGCUGUAAAACACUUGAAGUUCACAGAGCAAGUCACUAUUUACAUCUAGGAGGGCAUUUCACCUCCGCUUUAUAGACCCCUUUACCGAUAUCACUCAGCAUUGUAAAACAACAGGUGUGUUGAGGUGCUCUGUCAAAACAGGUGUUUCUGUGUGCUGUGUUUACACUUAUUUAACCCAGGGUGUCUGGGCACAAUUGCUAUUUAUUUCUUAGUUAUACGGAAUCUUCCACAGGGAGCUCGUAUGAAAAGAGGUGUGAGGUGGGAAAAGAGGUGAGCAGCGGCCCUACCUCAGGACCUUUGGCUGGGCUUGUACACUACCCCGGCGACUGCUCACUGGACUCACCUGUCCCAGGCAUCCUCCACACUUUCUUUUCCAGUCUUCCAGAAGGACCAGUGAUCUGCCUACUGGCCUUUUUUCCCCUUCCAUCUGCUUCCCAGCAGUGGAACCUGCCUGCUUAAAUCUUACUUAUUAACUAUACAUAGAUAUGGCAGACUGCGAUUACAGUAGAAUUGUUUGGGAGCUCAGUAUCUUGCCUCUUCCCACGUACCUUACCCUGGGAAUUGCUUUGUACUUGCAUAUUGCCAUGUGGUGGUGUGUCUUUAAUAACCAUCAAUAAAGAUAGGCCUGGGAAAACACAGACAGCCACAGACUCCUCUAAAUUCACCUGACUGCACAGAACAGAGCUGUCUGGAGAGGUAUCCCGGCUACCCAGAGGUGGUCACCAGGAGUGGUCAAAGUAAACCCACCCCCUUUGAUUCAGCAGCCAGAGAGAAUUUAGAAGAAUAGGCUCACCCUCUGAGGGUUCCUUGAAUCCAAUAAAACCUGUUCUUAAGUCUGAGUUCAUUUAUGGAUUUAUUCUCCAAAUAUUUGAGAGUGACGGUUCUGUGAAAAGUAUUCGCCUAAUACCACGAGGUGUUUCAUAGCUUCUUUAUCAGAAAAGCAAUAGAGAUCAAGGAUGUGGGAAGGAAGGGGAAUUUUUUUUUUGAGACAGGGUCUAGCUCUGUCAUCUAGGCUGGAGUGCAGUGGCACGAUCUUGGCUCACUGCAGCCUUCACCUCCCAGGUUCAAGUGAUCCUCCCACCUCAGCUUCUCAAGUAGCUGGGACUACAGGCACAUACCAUCAUGCCCAGCUAAUUUUCGUAUUUUUUUUGUGGAGAGAUGGGAUUUUGCCAUGUUGCCUGGGCUGGCCUUGAAAUCCUGGGCGCAAGUGAUCCACCCACCUAGGCCUCCCAAAGUGCUGGGAUUACAGGCGUGAGCCACCGCACCCAGCUGGGAAAUUUUUAUAAUAUAAGCCUGGGGUGUCACACUCUGCACAGAUUAAUAGCAUUUGAAUAGCAGGCAGGGAUGGAAGUAAUUGUCAAAAUAGGUAGGUAAUUUUGCCUUGCAUGUAGUAGGUGCUCAAGAAUAUUUAUCGAGUGGAAUUAAGUUAAACAGACAAUUAGAAAUUGGAUGGUCUUAGCCACUGACUAUACUGUCUGUCAUCAGUGCAGGUUCACUCAAUACAAAGAAAAUGAGCUGGGAUUCUACCCCUCCAUCCAGGUGACAGGUGGUGCUAGAUGCCGAGUCUAGGUCUGCCCCAGGUGCCAGGGCUUUGAGGGCAGGGAAGGAGAUGAAUAGCCACCCAUAACAAGGAGAUCAAAUACUUGAACUUGAGUACUGGGGUGCUUCCAUGACUGUGAGAGCCUAUUGAAAUAAAGGUCACAGCUGGAUACAUGUAUGAUAUAUGCACAGCGUGGCAACCUCCUCCAGGAGCCAGCAACAUGCUGGGACUUUAUUAGGAGACCUCCCAUCAGGUAAGGUGAGCCUGGCACACACCAGCACGCUGCAAGAGAACCCGCUCUCCCUGAGUCCUCUCAGAUUUCAACCAAAGCUGGUCUGUGGAAGUCCAAGUCCGCAAAAGGACAGACUCCUUUUCCCUACUAAACAUAAUGUCAAUACACCGAGUGAGGCUGAGGGAAUCCAAAAAUGAGCUCUGUCAUGUAGACAGUUGCCCACAGUAGUUAAGGAACUAUGGAGAUUCAUGCUCGGUCCUUUCUCUGAAGCUCUGAGGAUUCAGUGUACUGCCUCACCCUUUGUUCUGAGCCACUGUCCCCCGACCUCCUGCCCUGGACCAUCACCCCUAGACUGAGUAGCAGGGUAUGGUCCCCCUAAGUCCGCAGUCCUGGUCAUCAUCUCCAAACAACCCACAACUUUUCCAGCCUAUGGGAUUACAUAUACA